rnacentral:misc_RNA from 1 species
ACGCCUCAACUCUCAUGGUCUUCCGUGAUGAGCUUGGACUUUGGGGGUUUGCUGGCCCUGUGGCCGGCUCCUCUCAAACGGAUCAGCUUGCCAGUGUUUGGUGGCGUCACGGGUGUGAUAACUAUCUACGCUCGCGGUCGUCCGCCAGGUAACCCUCAGCAAUGAAGGUUCAUUGGAGCUCAUAAACGUCUCUCCUCGGCGAGGACAACUUUUGAAC